AAAGUCGUAACAAGGUCUCCGUUGGUGAACCAGCGGAGGGAUCAUUACAGAGUGACCACUGCGUCGUGGCUCUGCCGACCCUGCGAACCCUACCUCUUACCGUUGCCUCGGCGGCCGGCGCUGCCCUGGUGGGCGGCGCCCCGCCGGAGGCCCCUAGCCCACACGCACUUAGCUGCUCGUUGUCUCUGCCUCUGAACGAACGACUUUUGAACGAGUAAAAACUUUUGGCAACGGAUCUCUUGGCUCUG
rnacentral:misc_RNA from 1 species